ensembl:miRNA
AUCUCUCGAGAUGUUCAGUCUCAGUGGGAACCGUGUGUAAGUCUUGUUCCCAUUGAGACUGAGCAUCUCAAGGGAUCA